rnacentral:rRNA from 1 species
CGGACGGGUGAGUAAUGAAUCGCUAAUGUACCCCGGACUCCGGGAUAGCCGGCCGAAAGGCCGGGUAAUACCGGGUAAGACCACGGUCAGGCAUCUGACUGUGCUCAAAGGUCCGCCGGUCCGGGAGCAGGCGAUUUCGUAUCAGCUAGUUGGUGCGGGUAACGGCCCACCAAGGCGAUGACGCGUAACUGGUCUGAGAGGACGGCCAGUCACAUCGGGACUGAGACACUGCCCGG